rnacentral:rRNA from 1 species
CCUACGGGAGGCAGCAGUGGGGAAUAUUGCACAAUGGGCGAAAGCCUGAUGCAGCGACGCCGCGUGAGGGAUGACGGCCUUCGGGUUGUAAACCUCUUUCAGCAGGGAAGAAGCGAAAGUGACGGUACCUGCAGAAGAAGCGCCGGCUAACUACGUGCCAGCAGCCGCGGUAAUACGUAGGGCGCAAGCGUUGUCCGGAAUUAUUGGGCGUAAAGAGCUCGUAGGCGGCUUGUCACGUCGGGUGUGAAAGCCCGGGGCUUAACCCCGGGUCUGCAUUCGAUACGGGCUAGCUAGAGUGUGGUAGGGGAGAUCGGAAUUCCUGGUGUAGCGGUGAAAUGCGCAGAUAUCAGGAGGAACACCGGUGGCGAAGGCGGAUCUCUGGGCCAUUACUGACGCUGAGGAGCGAAAGCGUGGGGAGCGAACAGGAUUAGAUACCCUGGUAGUCCACGCCGUAAACGGUGGGAACUAGGUGUUGGCGACAUUCCACGUCGUCGGUGCCGCAGCUAACGCAUUAAGUUCCCGCCUGGGGAGUACGGCCGCAAGGCUAAAACGUCAAAGGAAUUGACGG